UCUUGGUUCUGUUAUCAUUGACGGGGGCUCUGGCUAUUGCAAGUUUGGCUGGAGCAAAUACGCAUGUCCAUCAGGCCGGUCAGCAACCUUUUUGGUGAAGUGGUCUGACUUGCAAGAAUUUGGAUGCAGGCGAAGCCAUCUUCGCAGCCCGUGGUCUUGUCUAUACCAAUCUGCCAUUAUGAUGGUGAGCUGCUACCCUAGAGUCUAGAGUUAUAAAUUAGAUUGGUUGCAUUGCAUUGCAUCAAUUCUCUCUGUCAUGUUAUCCUUCACAAGGUAUUGUCCCCAUCCACCUUUUGUGCUAAUUUUUUUUCCUUAUUUUUAGGCUUAAAUGUUAAAAUGGUCCUUGUGUUUUAGUCAUUGAGUCAAUUUAGUCCCUAUGUUUUCAAUUUGGCCAAUUUGGUCCUUGUGUUUA